rnacentral:sRNA from 1 species
AUGUACCACUCGUACACUGCGAUGCUGCGCGCCGUCCACGCCCACUUGACGAGUGCUGGCUGCGUUUUGUUAGCC